ACGGAAGGCAGCAGUGGGGAAUAUUGGGCAAUGGGGGAAACCCUGACCCAGCAACGCCGCGUGAAGGAAGAAGGCCUUCGGGUUGUAAACUUCUUUUACCAGGGACGAACACAAUGACGGUACCUGGAGAAAAAGCAACGGCUAACUACGUGCCAGCAGCCGCGGUAAUACGUAGGUUGCAAGCGUUGUCCGGAUUUACUGGGUGUAAAGGGCGUGUAGGCGGAGCUGCAAGUCAGAUGUGAAAUCCCGGGGCUCAACCCCGGAACUGCAUUUGAAACUGUAGCCCUUGAGUAUCGGAGAGGCAAGCGGAAUUCCUAGUGUAGCGGUGAAAUGCGUAGAUAUUAGGAGGAACACCAGUGGCGAAGGCGGCUUACUGGACUGUAACUGACGUUGAGGCUCGAAAGCGUGGGGAGCAAACAGGAUUAGAUACCCUGGUA
rnacentral:rRNA from 1 species